UCUAUGACGCGCCACCAGUCUCCUGGAGAAAUCAAAAUCAGUUUAGAGAGAGAGAGAGAGAGAGAGGGAGUGCGAGAGAGAGAUCGUUCGAUUCUAACGGCGGCGAGGCAGAGAGAGAGAGACCGGUCGAUCCUAACGGCGGCGAGAGAGAGAGAGAGAGAGACCGGUCGAUCCUAACGGCGGCGAGAGAGAGAGAGACCGUUCGAUCCUAAUGGCGGCGAGAGAGAGCAAGCGGACCUGAAGAACAAGUCAGAGGAGGUCUUGACUCUUGCGUGUUCGUGGACGAGGACUGAGACGAUGAUUUGAUUCGACUCAGAACAAACACGCUCGCCGGCAUGCGUGUUCGGUGACUCAAACUGAUCAAUUACAAAACAAAAGGUUUAGGGUUAAUAACGUAGCUAGCACUACCAGUCUCUUUCAUAAAAUCAUCAAAGCCAUCCCAAUCUUUAAGUUUUCAUAAAGUGGAUGUGUUUGAAAAGCUUGAAGCUACGUGUAAGGCUGAAGGAAAGGAAGAGAAAGAAAAAGAAGAUAAUGAAGAAGUUGAUGAAUCAGAGGGAGAAGAAUCUGACUACAAAGAUUAUUAUUAGAAUCAAGACUUCAAUGAUGGUGACAGACAAUUAUAAUCAGGCAGAUGAUGGAGGCAUAAUAUGGGGAUAUUAAAUAGUGGGUUUCUUUCUUUCUUUGGGCUGAAACAGGUGUGUGUUCGUGUUUUCCAACCAAGACGAUGAUUUGAAGGAUGAAGAAGGUUCAUAGCAAAGCAAUGAGAUGAUGCUCUUUUCGGAGCUGUUGGAUGGUUCGUGCGGCUCUUGAAGUGUUUGUCAAUUGUAAGACCGAUAACAGUGUUACCACAAGUGACGAGAGAGUAAACAGGCCUGAACAAGUCAGAGGUUGAUCACAUUGCUUGUGUUGUUUUUGAUUUUGGGAAGUAAAGGUGCGGUAAACUUUGUUCAGUUGACAAGGCUACUACUAUCUUGGAGGUAAAUUCUUGAUAACUGCCGGAUGUUCUCCCAAUUGCCUAAAAUGUGCCUCAGCUAGCUGGAUCUUUGGAAGGUCCUUGUGUUCGUGUUCCAGCCAGGACGGACGAUGCUUUCUCGACUCAGGACACAAAAACGGUCGCUGGCGUGUUCUUACGGUAACACAACAUCAAACUGAUCGAUUAAAAGCAAAGGCGAAAAGAGAGCAAAAACAAGUCAGGGAGUCAGGGGUAUCUUUCUAAACUUGAGAGCAACAUCUUUCCAACCAGGACGAUGACCACAAAACGGUCGCCGGCGUGUUCUUACAAUUCUAACAUCAUCAAACCGAUCGAACUGAAAGUGAAGCUUAUAUGCAGAUCGGAGAUAUGCUAUGGUCUGAAGAAUGAAGAAAGAUUCUGAACCAAACAAAAACAAAACCUUCGCCUUGCGGAUCCAAGCAUUCUUGAUGAAUAAUAUCUGGUGGAAGUUUAUGUUUUCGUGUCUUUGAAAGUGAUGGAUGUUCAGAGGACAUGGCGUAUUUCUUCAACUCUCAUCUGAUUUGAAGAUUCUGUGAAACAUCUCUCCACAUAAAACAACUCAUCACCGGAGGAGAGAA